rnacentral:rRNA from 1 species
AUUAAUUUAUAAAAAUAAUUUAUGUAUUUUUUGUUUUAGUAUUAAGUAAAAAAUAAUUUUUAGUUUAAUAGUUUAUUAGUAUUGUGAAAGAAUAUAAUUUAAAUUUAUUAAAGAAUUUUAAAAGUACCUUUUGUAUCAGGGUUGAUUAAAAUUUUUAAUUUAUUUUAAAUUCUCAAAAUUUAUAGAGUUAAUUUUAUUAUUAAUUUAUUGUUAUAAAAAUAUUUAUAAAAUAUUAUUAGUUUUGAAAUUUAAUUCGUUAUAUUAUAUUUAGUUAUUUAAGAAUUAAAUUUAAUUUAAAAUUUUAAAAGUUUUUUUAAUUUAAAUUAUUUUAUAUUUUAAAAUUAAAUUAUUUUAGGGAUAAGCUUAAAAUUUUUAUAUAAUAACUAAAUUUUAUUAAAAUAAUUAAUAGGAUUAGAAAUUUUUAAUUUAAGUUUGUAAAAAUUUAUUAUUUAUUAAGUUUAAAUUUAUUAAAAUUUAUUUUAUUUAUUUUUUAUAUUAAAUUUUAUAAUUUAAUUAUUUAUUUAUAGUAAUAAUGAUUGAAUUAGUAUAAUUAAUUUAUUUAUAAAUUAUGAAUUCGGCAAAUUUUAUUUUCAUCUGUUUAACAAAAACAUUGUAUUAAGUUUAAUUUAAUAUAGGAUCUGCUCAAUGAUUAAAUUAAAUAGCUGCAGUAUUUUGACUGUGCAAAGGUAGCAUAAUAAUUAGUCUUUUAAUUGGGGACUUGAAUGAAAGAUUUGAUGAGAAAUAAGCUUUAUUGUUUAUAAAAUUAAAAUUUUAUUUUUAAGUAAAAAAGCUUAAAUAUUUUAAAGGGACGAUAAGACCCUAUAAAACUUUAUAAAUUUUUAAUUUUAAGGUUUUGGUAAAAUAAAUUUAUUUAAAAUUUAAAAUUUUAUUUUGUUGGGGUGAUAAAAAAAAAUAUUUAACUUUUUUUAAAUUUAUUCAUUUAUAUGUGUUGAUUUUGAAUUAAAAUUUUUAAUUAUAAGAAAAAGUUACUUUAGGGAUAACAGCGUAAUUAAAUUUUUAAGUUCAAAUUUAAAAUUUAGUUUGCGACCUCGAUGUUGAAUUAAGAAAAAUCUUAGGUGCAAAAUUUUAAGUGUUAGGUCUGUUCGACCUUUAAANUCUUACAUGAUUUGAGUUCAAACC